CCUCAGAUGCGGGAUUUUGGGGGCGAGAUGAGUUUUACUGCAAUCCAACUGGCCCGCAAAGUCCCGCUCCUGGUU
rnacentral:pre_miRNA from 1 species